rnacentral:sRNA from 1 species
CCUGUUUCCACUCAAGAGAUCCCAACUGAUGGCCGCCUGCUUCAGUCUCGGGGGCACCAGCAGGGUGGCCGUGUCAUCAACACCAACUGCUCGGCGGUGCGCACCCGUCAGGCCCUCUGCUGCAAGAUGUCCGUGGAGUACGACAAGUUCAUUGAGUCCGGGCGCAAGUGGUUCUGCCACGUGGAUGACGACAAUUAUGUGAACCCCAGGAGCCUCCUGCAUCUGCUCUCCAGCUUCUCACCCAGCCAGGACGUCUACCUGGGGCGGCCCAGCCUGGACCACCCCAUCGAGGCCACCGAGAGGGUCCAGGGUGGCAGAACUGUGACUACGGUGAAGUUCUGGUUUGCUACUGGUGGGGCCGGUUUCUGCCUCAGCAGAGGCCUUGCUCUCAAGAUGAGCCCAUGGGCCAGGUGAGUGGGGGUCCAGCUGCCUGGGCUGGGAGGCGGAGGCUGAGACCUGAAAGGUGCUGACCGGCCUCCCCCCAGCCUGGGCAGCUUCAUGAGCACAGCUGAGCAGGUGCGGCUGCCGGAUGACUGCACAGUGGGCUACAUCGUGGAGGGACUCCUGGGCGCCCGCCUGCUGCACAGCGCCCUCUUCCACUCUCACCUGGAGAACCUGCAGAGGCUGCCGCCGGACACCCUGCUCCAGCAGGUUACCUUGAGCUAUGGGGGUCCUGAGAACCCACAUAACGUAGUGAACGUGGCUGGAGGCUUCAGCCUGCAUCAGGACCCCACACGGUUUAAGUCUAUCCACUGCCUUCUCUACCCAGACACGGACUGGUGUCCCAGGCAGAAGC